rnacentral:rRNA from 1 species
UACGGAGGGAGCAAGCGUUACUCGGAAUUAUUGGGCGUAAAGGGCGCGUAGGCGGUUCGGUAAGUCAGGUGUGAAAUCUCCACGCUCAACGUGGAGGCGCCACCUGAAACUGCCGUGACUCGAGUCCGGUAGGGGAGUGUGGAAUUCCUGGUGUAGCGGUGAAAUGCGCAGAUAUCAGGAGGAACACCAGUGGCGAAGGCGGCCUUCUGGACGGAUACUGACGCUGAGGCGCGAAAGCCAGGGGAGCAAACGGG